UGGGGGAUAUUGCACAAUGGGCGAAAGCCUGAUGCAGCGACGCCGCGUGGGGGAUGAAGGCUUUCGGGUUGUAAACCUCUUUCGCUAUCGAACAAGGCCCGCUUAGGGUGGGUUGAGGGUAGGUGGAGAAGAAGCGCCGGCUAACUACGUGCCAGCAGCCGCGGUAAUACGUAGGGCGCGAGCGUUGUCCGGAAUUAUCGGGCGUAAAGGGCUUGUAGGCGGCUUGUUGCGUCUGCUGUGAAAACGCGGGGCUUAACUUCGCGCGUGCAGUGGGUACGGGCAGGCUUGAGUGUGGUAGGGGUGGCUGGCAUUCCAGGUGUAGCGGUGGAAUGCGCAGAUAUCUGGAGGAGCACCGAUGGCGAAGGCAGGUCACUGGGCCAUUACUGACGCUGAGGAGCGAAAGCAUGGGUAGCGAACAGG
rnacentral:rRNA from 1 species